rnacentral:rRNA from 1 species
AUUGAACGCUGGCGGCAUGCUUUACACAUGCAAGUCGAACGGUAACAGGCCGCAAGGUGCUGACGAGUGGCGAACGGGUGAGUAAUGCAUCGGAACGUGCCCAGUCGUGGGUGAUAACGCAGCGAAAGCUGCGCUAAUACCGCAUACGAUCUAUGGAUGAAAGCGGGGGACCGUAAGGCCUCGCGCGCUUGGAGCGGCCGAUGUCAGAUUAGGGAGUUGGUGGGGUAAAGGCUCACCAAGCCAACGAUCUGUAGCUGGUCUGAGAGGACGACCAGCCAAACUGGGACUGAGACACGGCCCAGACUCCUACGGGAGGCAGCAGUGGGGAAUUUUGGACAAUGGGCGCAAGCCUGAUCCAGCAAUGCCGCGUGCAGGAAGAAGGCCUUCGGGUUGUAAACUGCUUUUGUACGGAACGAAACGGCCCUGGUUAAUACCUGGGGCUAAUGACGGUACCGUAAGAAUAAGCACCGGCUAACUACGUGCCAGCAGCCGCCGUAAUAC